GUUCUUGUCUCUUCUGCACAGCAUGAGAAGAGCGAGUUGGAGAAGUGUACUUCAGUCAGUCUGCAAACAACCUGAUGGGCUUCCUCCUGGUGAGGCUGAGGUUUGUAUGAGAACUGUUGAAUCACAGCCUGAACCACUGAUUGAUCACCUGAGGCAAGCACUGAGUCAGCUGUGGGAGCACAAGUGAAGGCAAUUCACCUGUGUGACUGGAAGGGGUGGAACCUGGCUGCACCUCUCCUAGACCCCAUUUAAGGGCUGAGUGCCCCUGAGGAAGGAUCUAUUUCUGCAGGUUGCUCCCUUUGGAAUUUUUACUGCGAGCCUAUGACACGGAUUCCUCACCACGACGGACUCGAGGUGUCUGCCAUCACAUCCCUCACUACGGACCGUAUGCUGACGGACUUCCCUGGGCCUGCUACCUGAGACCUGCUGCUUCCUCGCGGGCUUACUCUGCGGCUUCUUCCUGGACCCACCCAGUACCUGCACCCUCUCGUUGCCCAAGACCGGCCUCGCUGCUCCUGCCCUUUGGCCUCGGACCAUCAUAACAACAUGCAACGGGACUACUGCCAGAUCCUGGUGAGAAAAGUGGAAGACAGAAAGGAGCAUUCAGCAGAGUCUAUGAAGCAUACUGGAAAAAUAGCGUAAAGCUGUAUGGUGUCUGUGAGACUUCAAAAUAUUUGCCUCACAGUUAUUUACUCUGGAGUGCUGAAGAAUGGAGACUUUCAGCUUCUUCUCCCUGUGCUCCUCCAACAACACAAGAGUGAAAGCUUGACAUCUCACUUCCUACCUAAGCACUUAUCUUUUGUGUCCUACUAGAUCAAUAUAAAGAUAUUAAGAGAGACUGUUGAUGCCUCUGUAAGGUAGGUCCAGCUGCCUGUGACAAAGCAGUGUAUCUCUGAGAGCUGAAAUAAUCUGGAGGACUAAAGUCACAGCUGAGGGCAAAC
ensembl:lncRNA